CAGCAAAUGAAUACAAGAGAUGGGUGCUGUGCGUAUAUCUCCCAGCAUUGGCCCUGGAUUAAGACUCACUGGCUAUGGGGGACAGACACCCACCAGUGAAGCUGACCUUGCUCUGUCUCUUCUCUAUGCAUACCUCAGAGAUACUGGAGGUUGGGUUCCAGACUACUGCAAUAAGAGAGAAGAGGAGAGACUCUUCAAGAUGGGGAAGGAAUGGUGGUCUUCAGUGUCUUCUUCAAGCAGCAGAGACCCAUGCCUAGCUGCCUUGAAGCACCCUAAAAAAGAACUUGGAGCCGAAUGAUAAUGGGGUCUAGCUAGGGAGCCUGGACAUUAGGCUCUAGGGCUUUCAGCCCUGGUAAAUAUUUUUGUGCCAAGCUUUAAGGGAUCAUGAGAGGUUGGCUAAUGAGGACAUGUGUGGUAAUUGGUGUGGACCGAAGACAAGAGGGCUGGGCCCAAUGAUGUACUGUGGAUAAGUUCCCGGGGGCCUUUGUACAACCCUGCAAAAGCAGUAGGAGGACUUACAUGCAAAUGUAUUUUGAUUUUGGAACCGAAGUAUUGUGACAUGUCAUAUAAACCCUUGUUAGUGGAGUAAAAGUCAUACCUCCUACUUGUGUGUUUGUAUUUGGGCAGGGGGUCAGUAAUGAUGGAACAGUGAUUCUGGUUACCAGAAAGCUUGAGAACUUGCUUCUUAUCACCAAAGACUUAAAGGGAAAUGGAACGCUUUAUGUGUAUCUUAAUAUCAUUAUCAAUCCGACAUGUUUUCAAUUGAAUAUUGGAUGUACCAGCAGCUGAUUCACUCAGCUGUUUGGAAGAGAGUGCUAAUGAGGCCAGGGUUCUUAUUUCCAUACAGUCAUAUACGCUUAGUGAGAGAGAAUUUCAGCUCCAAGCACCACAGAUUAAAUCCCUAACCUGCACCAACUGCUUUACAGAUAUGUGUGUUGGGUCAUGUGAGGCCAGGUGUGAAUGAGUCAGCAUAAAGCCUCUGUAACUCCAAGGGCAAAAACUCAAAAUAGACGUCCUGUUGACAUCCCUGUAAUCUGUACGAGUGUUUAUGAAGGAGAGAGCAUGCCGCUGCCAUAUGAACUAAUUCACAAAACAGAAACAUAUUGAAUCAAAUUCCUCUAAUUUCCAAAUGGAGGCUGGUAUGGCAAAUGGCUUUAUCGUCAGUUUAAUACUAUAUCUUAUCUGCAACAAAUAUUUUAUCUAUAAAAUGCGUGUAUUGAGGUGUCUUUAAAAAAAUACUGAAUUUAAGAAGAAUCUUUAACAAUCUGCAAAAUGAAAAGGAGGAAGCUGAGAUUGUGUUUUAUAUAAAAAAUCAGAAAGAGAAGUAAUAUUUAGAACAUAUACAAUGUUCUUAAGAUUAAUUUUUAUUUUUGGUAUAAUUUACAGACAAUGCCCUGGUCUUAAGGUUUCAAUUAAAUGAAUUUUGACAAUUGUAUACACCCAUAAAACCACCACUCAAAGCAAGUUAUAGAACAUUUCCAUCAUCCCAGAAAGUUCCUUUCUGCUCUUUCCCAGUCAAUUUCCCUUUCCCUCCCCCCAGGCGACCACUGUUCUAAUUUUUAUCACCAUAGAUUAGUUUGGCAUUUUCUUGAACUUCAUAUAAUAUAAUCAAACCAUACAUAUUCUUUUGUGUCUGACUUUUAUUCCCUCAACAUAAUGGUUUUGAGAUUCAUGCAUGUCAUUAUAUUAUAUCGGUAUAUUCUUUUUUAUUUUGGUAGGAAGGUACAAUGUGUUCAUCCAUUAUCCUGUUAAUGGAUAUUUGGAAUGUUUCUUAUUAUU